rnacentral:lncRNA from 1 species
GGCCAAGUAGUUUCAGAGGAGAAGAUUUUUGUAAAAGAUAACUUUAAUUAACGAAAAAUGGUUAAAAAUUGACUAUAAAGGGCAAUAACUCCUAAACGGGUCAACUGACCAUUUUGGUCAUGUUGACUUAUUUGUAGAUCUUACUUUGCUGAACAUUAUUGCUGUUUACAGUUUAUCUCUAACUAUAAUAAUAUUCAAGAUAAUAACCAAAAACAGCAAAAAUUUCUUCAAAAUUACCAAUUCAGGGGCAGCAACCCAACAACCGAUUGACCGAUUCAUCUGAAAAUUUCAGGGCAGAUAGAUCUUGACCUGAUAAACAUUUUUACCCCCAUGUCAGAUUUGCUCUAAAUGCUUUGGUUUUUGAGUUAUAAGCCAAAAACUGCAUUUUACCCCUAUGUUCUAUUUUUAGCCGUGGCGGCCAUCUUGGUUGGUUGACCGGGUCACGCCACACAUUUUUUAAACUAAAUACCCCAAUGAUGAUUGUGGCCAAGUUUGGUUGAUUUGGCCCAGUAGUUUCAGAGGAGAAGAUUUUUGUAAAAGUUAACGACGACGGACGACGACGGACGACGACGGACGACGACAGACGACGGACGCCAAGUGAUGAGAAAAGCUCACUUGGCCCUUCGGGCCAGGUGAGCUAAAAAUGAUACCACCAAAAUAAAU